GACGAACUCUGGCGGCGUGCCUAAUACAUGCAAGUCGAGCGGACCGGAUUGGGGCUUGCCUUGAUUCGGUCAGCGGCGGACGGGUGAGUAACACGUGGGCAACCUGCCCGCAAGACCGGGAUAACUCCGGGAAACCGGAGCUAAUACCGGAUAACACCGAAGACCGCAUGGUCUUCGGUUGAAAGGCGGCCUUUGGGCUGUCACUUGCGGAUGGGCCCGCGGCGCAUUAGCUAGUUGGUGAGGUAACGGCUCACCAAGGCGACGAUGCGUAGCCGGGCGGAGGGGGUGACCGGCAACACUGGGACUGCGACACGGCCCAGGCGCCUACGGGAGGCAGCAGUAGGGAGUCUUCCGCAAUGGGCGAAAGCCUGACGGAGCGACGCCGCGUGAGCGAAGAAGGCCUUCGGGUCGUAAAGCUCUGUUGUGAGGGACGAAGGAGCGCCGUUCGAAGAGGGCGGCGCGGUGACGGUACCUCACGAGAAAGCCCCGGCUAACUACGUGCCAGCCGCCGCAGUAA
rnacentral:rRNA from 1 species